GUCUUAAAUACAUGAAUCUAUAACUCACUGUAGUAAUGUUGCGAUAUGUUAGAGUGUACUCUGAACUGUCCACUUUGCUCUCUCUUUUCUUUUAAAUGCAUGUUUUUCUCAGUAAAACUUAAUUACACGUACAGUAUCAUAGAGAAGGGAACUUGUAAAUAGAUGAAGGUCAAGAUAUGUGUGUCAAGCAUUCUACGUAAAAGUAUAAAUUCUACGUGUGGAAUAUGACCAUUGACAAAGACAUUCAUUGACGGCAAAGAUGAAGCUGGUAUAUGUCUUCUGCUUACUUAUUGCUGUACUGAUUGACCAGGGAGAAAGUGAAUGCAGAUCGUAUUGUUGUGAAUACGACCCCACCCGCACUUUCUGUACAAGAAUUUGCUGCGCAUCUGGUGCAGGUAGAAGAAGACGAUCCUCGUCCUCAUUCAAAUUCAAAGAACCCAGCGCCGUUUAUGAGCGAUUUAAGCAGAGAUUUAAACAUCAAUAAAAUGGUAACAUUCCAUUCACGUUCUUGUUUCCUGCUAUUAGUGUUCACUUCAAAUUAAGGUUCCUUAAAUUCUUUGUAGAUUUUUUUGAAU